GUUAAGGGGACCCUGCAUUAACACGUGGGCCUGAAAGUUGCAGGGGUGAUCCUGGGGUGGCCAUUCACUUGCAUAUGGGGCACAGAGGUUCUGGGGUGAUCCCAAAAGUUGUGGGGAAACCCUGCAUGGCCGUCCACUAGUAUGCAGGAACCUGGGGUUGAUGCGCCAAGAGAGUUCAGAGAACUCGUAGAAAAUCCUAAGGCUGUUGGCCAGAGCUCUGGGCUGGCCGCUGGUUUUUACAUAAAGAAAGACCACAGAGGCUAACUGUGGAGGCAAAGGUUAACUUAAAUGCUGAUUCUUGUUCCUCUGAAAGUGAAGCACGUGAAUGAGCCAAUUCAGUGCAUGUGUGAAGCUGGUCUCCAGGGAGAAGCAUUCUCUCUCUAGUGAACCCAACUAGGAGGGGGAAGCCAGACAGGGUCACGUCCCCCCAUCCCCUUGGUGGAACCAAGCCAGCAGUCAGCUUGGAAUGUCUGCGGAAGAGGACUCUGGCAGCCAAUCUAAUUGCACAACCCCGCAACUCCCCUGGGCCAUGAGUCACCCGCCUGCUGUGAACCCACAGCGCUUUGAUGCAGCCCUUCUCAGAUCCCUGGGCCUGCUGCUCUCAUGCCUGUCUAGCCCAUUUCCCUGUGAGUCCAGGCAGGCAGCAUUAAGUGCUUUUUGCUGUGUCCCUCUGUGCCUAGCACUGUGCCUGAUG
ensembl:lncRNA